UUGUUGAGAAGUAUAUUUUUUUUGAUACAGUGACAAGAGGCUCUGUAUCAUCGUCAAGGGACGAUACCAUCAUUGCGUACAAGAAUCAGCAGAGCAGACAACCAACAUCAGCAAAUGACAUGACAAAUACUGUACAACAAAGUAACGCUACGGAAAGCCCCACAGACCAGUCCAAUUGGCCGUCGCACGCAUGCCGACGUCGUACAGAAGCGGAUAUAGAAAGUGGUGGUCAAAAGAAGAAGGGGCGAGGUGUCCUCAAAGGAAUCAAGGUCGCCAAGAAGCGAUUCGCCAAUGGUUCCUCAAAGCUUCACAUUGAAUUUUCCAAAACAUUGGGAGGUUCUAUCGGAGAGAACUAUCGUAUGUUUGUGGAUGACGUGGUGGUUUACAUGAAAAGGAAGGCACCACUCAUUGGUGUGAACAAGUGGUCUGCCAUUGAUUCUUCU